rnacentral:rRNA from 1 species
UGCGUAGGUGGUUUGUUAAGUCUGAUGUGAAAGCCCUGGGCUCAACCUGGGAACGGCAUUGGAAACUGGCUUACUAGAGUGCGGUAGAGGGGUGUGGAAUUCCCGGUGUAGCAGUGAAAUGCGUAGAUAUCGGGAGGAACAUCUGUGGCGAAGGCGACACCCUGGACCAGCACUGACACUGAGGCACGAAAAGCGUGGGGGAGCAAACA